UCGAAACUCUGGUCAGCCAAAAAGCUAGAAGCCACAUAGAAAAGAAUUUUGAAGAUGGCAAUAAUGCCGAAGAAAGAGGUUGGUUUCACAUGUGAUCGACAAAGUCAUUCAGUUGGUUUCAUUCCUUUGUUAUUCUCAAGGAGAUAAUCCUGUUCUGCCCAUGAAAGGUGUAGAUACAACACUUCACAUUGUGCAAGGAUGUGGACAACAAUGUCCUUCAGUGAUAGUUCAGGUCUGGUGAUACCUUGAGGAAACAACCUCCAUUAUUUUUUGAUGGAAAUGACUAACAGUCAAGUGUGUAGCACAAGUGCUCCAAGAAGAAUAGCGUUAUUGUUUCAAGUAUAUAAGUCUAUGUUUUGACAGUCUGAAACAGAUUCAUAACAGGUUUUUUACCAACUUUCAGUUGGCAUUUCUGAUAGCUCCCUCAAGUAAAGGCACACAAAUACAUACUCAUCUUGUCCUUGAUUGUUUGUGUAAAAAAGAUAUUAUCUUACAUUAUUGCACACUGUAUUUAUUCUUUUUCACAAGUUAGUAGAAGUCAGGGGAAGUAUAUUUACUAUGGGAUUUAUUUCUUGAUCAAACAUCCUGUUAUUCUGUGUAACCUAACUUAUUACCUAAAGGGAAGUCAUUGCAUCUGAGAAUACCACAGAUAUUCUAAGGAUUUUCAACUGGAACAACCUAUCAUUAUUUCAAAAAAGGUACAGAAAAGUCAUAUUUUAAUUGCUAUAACGCUAUUUAAAUGUAAGGAGUUACAGUGCAAUCACUUUUGGGUGAAGAGAAGCAAAAGUUUCUGACCAUCCUGGGUUGUCUUUCAGGACCCAAAAUAUUUUUUGAGGCUUGAAGGAUUUUUAAACCUGAAUUCCUGCCCCGAAUUUAAUUGAUUCCAAUUGCUUUUACAAAUUAUCAUAUAACAUUUACGGGGAAUAUUUAUUUAUGCAAAGUUGUUGUUUUCUUGGCCAUUUACCGUUUGGCUCAAAAAUAUUUCAGUUACAACUGAAGGCCAUUGAUAACAUCAUAGCAGCUUCUCAUAGGAUGUUGGGUGCUAAUCACUCUGCCUACUCACAAGUAAUAAGUUCACUAUCAGUCUACUAGUGAUGCUCUGUUACCCUCUUCAGUUAGAAAUCAUUAACAGAGGCUUUGGUUUGUUUUAAAUUUUGAGCUAGAUGUCCCUAAUUUAGCAGUGUAAGACUAGAGGGAAGGCAACU